AACGCGAAGAACCUUACCUGGUCUUGACAUCCACGGAAGUUUUCAGAGAUGAGAAUGUGCCUUCGGGAACCGUGUGACAGGUGCUGCAUGGCUGUCGUCAGCUCGUGUUGUGAAAUGUUGGGUUAAGUCCCGCAACGAGCGCAACCCUUAUCCUUUGUUGCCAGCGGUCCGGCCGGGAACUCAAAGGAGACUGCCAGUGAUAAACUGGAGGAAGGUGGGGAUGACGUCAAGUCAUCAUGGCCCUUACGACCAGGGCUACACACGUGCUACAAUGGCGCAUACAAAGAGAAGCGACCUCGCGAGAGCAAGCGGACCUCAUAAAGUGCGUCGUAGUCCGGAUUGGAGUCUGCAACUCGACUCCAUGAAGUCGGAAUCACUAGUAAUCGUGGAUCAGAAUGCCACGGUGAAUACGUUCCCGGGCCUUGUACACACCG
rnacentral:rRNA from 1 species